rnacentral:rRNA from 1 species
GAUCCUGGCUCAGGAUGAACGCUGGCGGCGUGCUUAACACAUGCAAGUCGAACGGGAAAUACUUUAUUGAAGCUUCGGCCGAUUUAAUUUAUUUCUAGUGGCGGACGGGUGAGUAACGCGUGGGUAACCUGCCUUAUACCGGGGGAUAACAGCCAGAAAUGGCUGCUAAUACCGCAUAAGCGCACAGAACCGCAUGGUUCCGUGUGAAAAACUCCGGUGGUAUAAGAUGGACCCGCGUUGGAUUAGCUAGUUGG